rnacentral:lncRNA from 1 species
GCCUGUGAGAUGAGACCAAGUUUAUGCAUGUACAAGUCGGAAUUUGAGCAACCACUGUCUUCACCUCCAUUCUCGGCAUGGCCCUAAUCUAGGCAAGCACUUUCUCUCUGUCUCUGUCUCACAAGGUGGUGUCUUGAGAAGACAUGGUGCAUGGUGUCAGCUGAGGUGCUGGGUGGUGGUGGUUUGGAUGUGUUGAGUAAUUCCAAGGUCUGGGAUGGAGGUUGGGUCUAGGGAGGGGAGGGGAGAGAGAGGUAGAUAGAAGAAAGUAAAAAAGGAGAGAGACGAGAUAGAGGAGGUGGGGUGCGAUGGUGGUUAGAUUGGGGAGGGGAGAGAAGAGAGAGGUAGUGAGAG